rnacentral:ncRNA from 2 species
GGGUAUCGAUACGGGAGAGACCGGCCAUGUGCCGGCGCCGAAGGAGCAACCGCCCCGGAAACUCUCAGGCAAAAGGACCGGUCGAUGAUA